CCUACGGGCGGCAGCAGUGAGGAAUAUUGGUCAAUGGGCGGGAGCCUGAACCAGCCAAGCCGCGUGAGGGAAGAAGGUACAGCGUAUCGUAAACCUCUUUUGUCAGGGAACAAAGGCGGGGACUAGUCCCCUGAUGAGGGUACCUGAAGAAAAAGCAUCGGCUAACUCCGUGCCAGCAGCCGCGGUAAUACGGAGGAUGCGAGCGGUAUCCGGAUUUAUUGGGUUUAAAGGGUGCGUAGGCGGCCUGUUAAGUCAGCGGUAAAAGUCCGGGGCUCAACCCCGGCGAGCCGUUGAAACUGGCGGGCUGGAGUGGGAGAGAAGUACGCGGAAUGCGCGGUGUAGCGGUGAAAUGCUUAGAUAUCGCGCAGAACCCCGAUUGCGAAGGCAGCGUACCGGCGCCACACUGACGCUGAGGCACGAAAGCGUGGGUAUCGAACAGGAGUAGAUACCCUAGUAGUC
rnacentral:rRNA from 1 species